rnacentral:rRNA from 1 species
GGAGUUUGGACCGUGUCUCAGUUCCAAUGUGGGGGACCUUCCUCUCAGAACCCCUACUGAUCGAUGGCUCGGUGGGCCGUUACCCCGCCGACUACCUAAUCAGACGCAUCCCCAUCCCUUAGCGGUAAACCUUUGGUAUUCGUCAGAUGUCCUCAAAAUACAGCAUAGGGUAUUAAUCCGAUUUUCACCGGGCUAUGCCCUACUAAGGGGAAGGUUGGAUACGCGUUACUCACCCGUGCGCCGGUCGCCAUCACAGAUAGCAAGCUACCUGCAUGCUGCCCCUCGACUUGCAUGUGUUAAGCCUGUAGCUAGCGUUCAUC